CUCGGUUUUCAAUUUCAAAACCUUCAACAACAUUGUAAUGGAAAUUUUUGUCCACUAAACGUAAAAAUGUGAUGACCGAAUGAUAAUGCCGUUGUUGGCUUCCAUCAUCACUAAUGAUAUAUAGCAGAAAAAAAAUUGUCGGUAACAUCAUCAUCAACAACAACAACAACAACAACAACAACAACAAAAUACUGGUGGGUACACACAUUCUAUAUAUAAUGGAUGCUCAUGCAGAAUAGUAUUUGUUUGUUUGUUUGUAUUGGUUGUAUUCUCCGUCAUCAUAUAUAUAUGAAAAACAUCUUUACCCGAAAAAAAA